UACAGAGGUCUCAAGCGUUGUUCGGAUUCAUUGGGCGUAAAGGGUGCGUAGGCGGCGCGGUAAGUCGGGUGUGAAAUCUCGGGGCUUAACUCCGAAACUGCACUCGAUACUGCCGUGCUUGAGGACUGGAGAGGAGACUGGAAUUUACGGUGUAGCGGUGAAAUGCGUAGAUAUCGUAAGGAAGACCAGUGGCGAAGGCGGGUCUCUGGACAGUUCCUGACGCUGAGGCACGAAGGUCAGGGGAGCAAACGGG
rnacentral:rRNA from 1 species